rnacentral:misc_RNA from 1 species
AGAAGAAUGUCCUCUACGUUACAUCUGCAUUCAUUUGUUCACUUAUGAGUUUACACAGGCAUGAGAAAUAGUACAGUAUUGAACUAACACAAGAAUCAGAUGAUCUGCUAAGAAUAGCAAACUAUUUGGUUUAGCCAUAAGCACAUAACUGGAAACUGAAAAGAUAAAACCGAUCCAGGACUUCUUACAAAGUCCAUUAAUCUGGUAAUCUGAUGCAGCUCUAUGCAGCUGUAUCAGUUGGACUCCAAAUGCAAAUACUCUAUUAUACUGAAUGUGAUGCAAAGCCACUACAACUCCACACUGGGGAUAGCCCCACAUGGUACUCUUUAAUCCACAAAACUGCAUUGAAGUGCUGAGAUUCAGAUUGUUAGGAGACAUUUAUGAGCUCAAUAAAAUAAGUCAAACUUAAGGUUACUUUUCAAACUGAAUUGCUUAAUAUUUGCUCAUGAAUCAGCAAAUGGUUAAGGCAAUAGCUAAGUAUGCUGAUGCCUCAUGCAAAUAUCCUGCAAGCAAUAAAGCAACUGCACCAAUGAAUCCAGUAAUCAGAGCUGCUCAUGUCCUAAAGAAACGUUAGGCCUAUAAUAGGCUUGAAAACGUCUAAGGAACCAUGUACACCUGGUCUGAUGUAGACUACAGCAAAAAUUUAGCCCAAAGGUUUAAUUUCAUGUCAAAAUGAGCUGAUCGUUCACAACCCAUGUUCCCUAAUCUAUCUCCCAAAUGAUACCAAAUUACCAUUUUUUUAAUGAAUUAAUAUGAAAGUGAGAUCGAUUAAAAGUUUGGAAUAUAGAGAUAUAACAAAGAAUGUUAAGCAUCAGAUUGCAUCAAGUUCAUUAGCUCCUCAGGUUGUAUCUUACUCUAUUUAUAUAUUUAAUCAAUAAACGAGGAAAAAAAAAUUAACGUAUGAAGCAUAAUUAUUUAAAACAAAAUAAAAACACCAUAUCAUACUUUAUUUUUAGACAUAAAUAAUAAAAUAACUGAAAUGAUGACAAAAAUUAAGAAGUAUGAUUAAAAACAGAUGCCCUCAGGAUGCUCCCAUCUUAAGUGAUUUCAAAAGUUGGAGAACUUAUAUUGCACCAAAAGUGAUUUGAUUGCCUAUAUCACGGCCUUAAUCACAAUUGUCCUACUGUGUUGUAAAAUGACUAGCUUUCUCAAUAUAGAGGCAUUACAUGAACUUCCGCUUAUGCAUAAGUGUCACUGACUAUGCCAAAGAAAAAUAGAUCAAAUUUGUACACAUGCAUAACUACAAACGUAAAAAAUAGCACCAUCCAAAUGUCUACAGAUGACCACUAAAAUUAAAAUUUGUGGCAGAAGAACACAUUAAAAGGACUUGUACAAUGAAUAAAGAACUGGAUGCAAAUUAAGCAAGGAAAAAUUGGCCUUGUAAUCAAGCAGAGAACUAAAUGCAAAACUUACUUA